rnacentral:rRNA from 1 species
AGCGGCGGACGGGUGAGUAACGCGUGGGAACGUACCCUCUUCUGCGGGAUAGCCACUGGAAACGGUGAGUAAUACCGCAUACGCCCUUCGGGGGAAAGAUUUAUCGGAGGAGGAUCGGCCCGCGUUGGAUUAGGUAGUUGGUGGGGUAAUGGCCUACCAAGCCUACGAUCCAUAGCUGGUUUUAGAGGAUGAUCAGCCACACUGGGACUGAGACACGGCCCAGACUCCUACGGGAGGCAGCAGUGGGGAAUCUUAGACAAUGGGCGCAAGCCUGAUCUAGCCAUGCCGCGUGAGUGACGAAGGCCUUAGGGUCGUAAAGCUCUUUCGCCAGAGAUGAUAAUGACAGUAUCUGGUAAAGAAACCCCGGCUAACUCCGUGCCAGCAGCCGCGGUAAUACGGAGGGGGUUAGCGUUGUUCGGAAUUACUGGGCGUAAAGCGCACGUAGGCGGAUUGGAAAGUUGGGGGUGAAAUCCCAGGGCUCAACCCUGGAACGGCCUCCAAAACUCCCAGUCUGGAGUUCGAGAGAGGUGAGUGGAAUUCCGAGUGUAGAGGUGAAAUUCGUAGAUAUUCGGAGGAACACCAGUGGCGAAGGCGGCUCACUGGCUCGAUACUGACGCUGAGGUGCGAAAGUGUGGGGAGCGAACAGGAUUAGAUACCCUGGUAGUCCACACCGUAAACGAUGAAUGCCAGUCGUCGGCAA